UUACCUACCCCUAUAUUACAAAACCCAUUUUAACCCACUAACUUGAAACCCAAAGCCCAUUUCCAGCAAACAACAUGCCAAAUAUCCCCAUUAAAUUUCAAUUCCACCGACCCAGCAAUAUGCCUACAAUACAACACCUAUAUGCAACAUGAUAUACACAUCUACAACAACAACAGCAUCCCACCACCGCCCAAAAGCCCCAUCUUCUUCACACAGCGAAUACACCCAAAAGUUUAUACAUACCAUACGCGCAUACCGUACAAUAGCUACGCGUCUUCUUCAACAACCCUGACAACAUCGCAAAUCUGCCGACAACAAAGGGAGGUUUGAAACCCAAAAAAUCAUCUUUAUCGAGUCAAUCUUAUCAAGGAACCUAGUACUGAACAGGUUUAUGGAAGCAAAAAUACAGGGAUUGAAAGCAGAAACGCAGGUGGAAAGAGGCUGGUAUAUAUCCAUAUACUGCUGAUAUACAUUGGUAUACAUGCUAAAUAUACAGGGUACGAAAAAUGGGCUAGGAAGGCCCAGGACACUGGUCCAGGUGGACAGAAACCAGGCUUGGGCCCAAAAUUUCUAUUCUCUUUAUUUGUUUAAUUAAUGGAAAAAUUAUCAAAUUACACAUCUUUUAUUCCUAUAUUUUUAAUUAUUCCCUACCAUUUGUUAAAAUUUUAAAAUUCCUUCUUCUGAUACAUAGAAAUGACGCUGAUACAUCGCGAUUUGAUACAUAAGUUUUUUUCAUGAUAAAUCGCUAGUUGAUACAAAUCAAACACAAAAUGUAUCAGUAAAACAUAAGUUUUAUUGCUAUUUUUGUUGUGUUCAUGAUAUAUUAGGUGUUAUAAGCUGAUUCAUAAGUUUUAUUGAUAUUACAAGAUUUGGUUUGUAUCAACUAGCGAUGUAUUAUGAAAAUGAUUUAUGUAUCAAAUCGCGAUGUAUCAGCAUCAUUCGUAUGUAUUAGAAAUCUGGAAAAAAGAGAAUUUGGGUAAUUACCAAAAAAAUCAGAAUAAAUUGUAAUUGAGGUUUUUCACUAUGGGAUUUAAGUAAAAUACCCUUAAUUAAUUGUCAUAGUUUGUUUGAAUUCUAA